rnacentral:rRNA from 1 species
UACGAAGGGGGGCUAGCGUUGCUCGGAAUCACUGGGCGUAAAGCGCACGUAGGCGGCUUUCUAAGUCAGGGGUGAAAUCCUGGAGCUCAACUCCAGAACUGCCUUUGAUACUGGGGAGCUCGAGUCCGGAAGAGGUGAGUGGAACUCCGAGUGUAGAGGUGAAAUUCGUAGAUAUUCGGAAGAACACCAGUGGCGAAGGCGGCUCACUGGUCCGGUACUGACGCUGAGGUGCGAAAGCGUGGGGAGCAAACGGGG